rnacentral:rRNA from 1 species
CGGCGGACGGGUGAGUAACGCGUGGGCAACCUGCCUUACACAGGGGGAUAACAGUUAGAAAUGACUGCUAAUACCGCAUAAGACCGCAGUACCGCAUGGUACAGCGGUAAAAACUCCGGUGGUGUAAGAUGGGCCCGCGUCUGAUUAGGUAGUUGGUGGGGUAACGGCCUACCAAGCCGACGAUCAGUAGCCGACCUGAGAGGGUGACCGGCCACAUUGGGACUGAGACACGGCCCAGACUCCUACGGGAGGCAGCAG